GAUGAACGCUGGCGGCGUGCCUAAUGCAUGCAAGUCGAGCGAACAGAUAAGGAGCUUGCUCCUUUGACGUUAGCGGCGGACGGGUGAGUAACACGUGGGUAACCUACCUAUAAGACUGGGAUAACUUCGGGAAACCGGAGCUAAUACCGGAUAACAUUUGGAACCGCAUGGUUCUAAAGUGAAAGAUGGUUUUGCUAUCACUUAUAGAUGGACCCGCGCCGUAUUAGCUAGUUGGUAAGGUAACGGCUUACCAAGGCAACGAUACGUAGCCGACCUGAGAGGGUGAUCGGCCACACUGGAACUGAGACACGGUCCAGACUCCUACGGGAGGCAGCAGUAGGGAAUCUUCCGCAAUGGGCGAAAGCCUGACGGAGCAACGCCGCGUGAGUGAUGAAGGGUUUCGGCUCGUAAAACUCUGUUAUUAGGGAAGAACAAAUGUGUAAGUAACUGUGCACGUCUUGACGGUACCUAAUCAGAAAGCCACGGCUAACUACGUG
rnacentral:rRNA from 1 species